rnacentral:rRNA from 1 species
GAUGAACGCUGGCGGCGUGCCUAAUACAUGCAAGUCGAGCGAACGGACGAGAAGCUUGCUUCUCUGAUGUUAGCGGCGGACGGGUGAGUAACACGUGGAUAACCUACCUAUAAGACUGGGAUAACUUCGGGAAACCGGAGCUAAUACCGGAUAAUAUUUUGAACCGCAUGGUUCAAAAGUGAAAGACGGUCUUGCUGUCACUUAUCGAUGGAUCCGCGCUGCAUUAGCUAGUUGGUAAGGUAACGGCUUACCAAGGCAACGAUGCAUAGCCGACCUGAGAGGGUGAUCGGCCACACUGGAACUGAGCCACGGUCCAGACUCCUACGGGAGGCAGCAGUAGGGAAUCUUCCGCAAUGGGCGAAAGCCUGACGGAGCAACGCCGCGUGAGUGAUGAAGGUCUUCGGAUCGUAAAACUCUGUUAUUAGGGAAGAACAUAUGUGUAAGUAACUGUGCACAUCUUGACGGUACCUAAUCAGAAAGCCACGGCUAACUACGUG